rnacentral:rRNA from 1 species
GACGAACGCUGGCGGCGUGCUUAACACAUGCAAGUCGAACGGAAAGGCCCUGCUUGCCGGGUACUCGAGUGGCGAACGGGUGAGUAACACGUGGGUGAUCUGCCCUGCACUUCGGGAUAAGCCUGGGAAACUGGGUCUAAUACCGGAUAGGAGCCAUUUUUAGUGUGAUGGUUGGAAAGUUUUUUCGGUGUAGGAUGAGCUCGCGGCCUAUCAGCUUGUUGGUGGGGUAAUGGCCUACCAAGGCGGCGACGGGUAGCCGGCCUGAGAGGGUGGACGGCCACAUUGGGACUGAGAUACGGCCCAGACGCCUACGGGAGGCAGCAGUGGGGAAUAUUGCACAAUGGGCGCAAGCCGGAUGCAGCGACGCCGCGUGGGGGAUGACGGCCUUCGGGUUGUAAACGCCUUUCGCUAGGGACGAAGCUUUUUGUGACGGUACCUAGAUAAGAAGCACCGGCUAACUACGUG